CCAUAAAUGACCACAGCUGAGAUUCAACUAGGGUAUAAAAGGAGAACCUCAUGGAGUUGGUCUUGCUUGAAGUGGUGGGUCUGCAGUUGGAGGUUCUGCUCCCUAGACUGGCCAUCAAACAGACAUUCCUUGGGGACUGAGACACCUUACUGAGCUGAUGUUGUAUGAAAACUUCAGGAUGUGAGCCAACAAUGGGGAGAUGAAGCUAAUGAAAGUGUACAUGUCACGGAGCGAUAGCUUUAUGCUUGAUAGUUCUCCAGGAAACCCCUCACUGAGAAGUUCAGAAUGAGUGCCAACACUGCAUGUACAUACACGGCGAUCUUCCUGGGAAAUUGAGGCGUCUCUCUGCUGAUCUCCUGACCGUGAAGCAGGCUUCAUUUUCAGACUGAUAUACAUAUGAUUCACAUGUGUGGUGAUAAAUGACAUAAAGUCUCGAGAAGUGUUGACAGCUGCUCAUCUGUGGGCUUUAGGCUUUCUCAUCUUCUCUUUCUGACUCUAUGAUUGCUGGAAUGGAUGACCAAUGACAAUGGAAGAUCUCCAAGU